CCUGUGAGGGUUGCUGGAGGUAUCAGAAGUGCGAAUGCUGACAUAAGUAACGAUAAAGCGGGUGAAAAGCCCGCUCGCCGGAAGACCAAGGGUUCCUGUCCAACGUUAAUCGGGGCAGGGUGAGUCGACCCCUAAGGCGAGGCCGAAAGGCGUAGUCGAUGGGAAACGGGUUAAUAUUCCCGUACUUGGUGUUACUGCGAAGGGGGGACGGAGAAGGCUAUGUUGGCCGGGCGACGGUUGUCCCGGUUUAAGCGUGUAGGUGUGUGUUCCAGGUAAAUCCGGUUCACUUUAACACUGAGGCGUGAUGACGAGGCACUACGGUGCUGAAGCAACAAAUGCCCUGCUUCCAGGAAAAGCCUCUAAGCAUCAGGUAACAUCAAAUCGUACCCCAAACCGACACAGGUGGUCAGGUAGAGAAUACCAAGGCGCUUGAGAGAACUCGGGUGAAGGAACUAGGCAAAAUGGUGCCGUAACUUCGGGAGAAGGCACGCUGACA
rnacentral:rRNA from 1 species